rnacentral:lncRNA from 1 species
GACUUAACAACUUAGCCAUCUCCCAAACCUCUUUUUAUAGUAUUAUUAAUUAUUCAUUUCUGCUUGCAAGGCACUAAGCUCAAAGUUUAUGUUGUCUACUGUGAACUUUGAUAUUUUGGAUGGAUUUAGUUUUUCUUCUGUUUGUUUUUUUUUUCUUAAGCCAUCCAGAUGAUGUUUCAUCUCCUCCACUUCUCUUUUUCCAGCCCUCUGAGUCCUUGAGCACCUCCCAGUCGAUAGCACAUAGAUUUCUAUCUGAGCAAUGGCUGUAUUCUCCUGGGAUGCGUUCAUCUGCCAUUUGUUUUUCUUAAUGUUUCCUGCUUUUCCUGACAGUAGCUUUGCUUAGGUACUUGGAUGGUUUAUUUGGGGUUAUUGUGUAUUUUGUGAAUGAGGUGGAUGCUUUCAGGUAUUGGUAUGAGGCCCUUUCAAGUGGAAUUGGAGAACAGUGCUCUGGGCAAGCAGCACCUCUCCUGAGUUCACAGCUAAGCCCUUCAUGGCUCUGGGCUCAUUGUGUGUGAACGAUCUGAACCUGUUUCUCCAGAGUUCAGUUGCUGAACUGUUCAUAAUUUAAGGUCCAUUUCCUUCACCCUGCUUCAAUAAUAUAUUGCUUCUUGACAUGAGAAAUGUUUCCUUGUUCAGCACCACCUCCUCUAUGUUCUUUGGGGUCAAAGAGAGGUUACAGAAGCUCUUUCUAAAGUUCAGGUGCCCUGUUCCUAUUCCUCAAUAGGCCUUAUGGUUUUGCCCCUUGUGCUAUGCCAUAUAUCUUGGAGAACUGCACUGUUUGAUAUUUGUGCUCCUUGAUCCUCAGUCACAUAUGUCUUGGUAGGUUUCCCACUCUAACCUUUGACUUUCUCUGCGGGCAAUUCUUCCUCAAAUUUUGUAGGUCAAGGUGACAGGAGUCUCGUCGCUUUUUCAAAGGUUGUUUUCUUUUUUAGUUGUUGUGGAUGUUUUGAGUCUAUUUCUUAGCAAAAACCACUGAGACAAUUUUUUUUCCGGCAUUUUCUAAUCAAGCAUCACAGAUAUGUGUUUUGGGAAACCCAUUAUUACUUUGUGCAGAUUAAUUGAUCUCAGUGCUAUAUUUAUAUAUUUUAUGAAUUCUGAAACUUAUACAAAUGUUAUAUGAAGUUUAUGCAUUUAUCCUUGUCAUGUUCCAUCUUUCACAUGCUCUUACUAAUAUGCACAAAGAAGUUUGCCUGUUUACCAUUCUAACAUGAUUUUACCUCCUAAGUUACAUUUGUAAUCAUUGUGUGAUAAAUAAUUAUAAUCAUCUUUUGAGAGUUUUCUAUUGUUGUCUAUUAGUAUUUUUUGUUUCUUUCGAUAGCUAUUCAAUUUUGUGUGAAUCACAUGAGGUUUUCUUCAAGGUGUAGGAUGUAUGUAUUUCUCCACUAUUUGAAAGCUUUAUUUUUUGUUGUGAUUUUACUAUUAAUUUUAUAUUUGAUAUUAAAUACAUUAACAUAC